rnacentral:rRNA from 1 species
GACGAACGCUGGCGGCGUGCUUAACACAUGCAAGUCGAACGGAAAGGCCCUGCUUUUGUGGGGUGCUCGAGUGGCGAACGGGUGAGUAACACGUGAGUAACCUGCCCUUGACUUUGGGAUAACUUCAGGAAACUGGGGCUCAUACCGGAUAGGAGCUCCUGCUGCAUGGUGGGGGUUGGAAAGUUUCGGCGGUUGGGGAUGGACUCGCGGCUUAUCAGCUUGUUGGUGGGGUAGUGGCUUACCAAGGCUUUGACGGGUAGCCGGCCUGAGAGGGUGACCGGCCACAUUGGCACUGAGAAACGGGCCAGACGCCUACGGGAGGCAGCAGCGGGGAAUAUUGCACGAUGGGCGGAAGCCGGAUGCAGCAACGCCGCGUGCGGGAUGACGGCCUUCGGGUUGUAAACCGCUUUCGCCUGUGACGAAGCGUGAGUGACGGUAAUGGGUAAAGAAGCACCGGCUAACUACGUG